CUUCGGGGGCCACUGCAGUCGACGGUAACAGGAGCAGCUUGCUGCUUCGCUGACGAGUGGCGGACGGGUGAGUAAUGUCUGGGAAACUGCCUGAUGGAGGGGGAUAACUACUGGAAACGGUAGCUAAUACCGCAUAACGUCGCAAGACCAAAGAGGGGGACCUUCGGGCCUCUUGCCAUCGGAUGUGCCCAGAUGGGAUUAGCUAGUAGGUGGGGUAACGGCUCACCUAGGCGACGAUCCCUAGCUGGUCUGAGAGGAUGACCAGCCACACUGGAACUGAGACACGGUCCAGACUCCUACGGGAGGCAGCAGUGGGGAAUAUUGCACAAUGGGCGCAAGCCUGAUGCAGCCAUGCCGCGUGUAUGAAGAAGGCCUUCGGGUUGUAAAGUACUUUCAGCGGGGAGGAAGGGAGUAAAGUUAAUACCUUUGCUCAUUGACGUUACCCGCAGAGAAGCACCGGCUAACUCCGUGCCAGCAGCCGCGGUGAUACGGAGGGUGCAAGCGUUAAUCGGAAUUACUGCUCGUACAGCGCACACAGGCGCGUUUGUUAGGCAAGAUGUGAACUCCCCGCGUCUCCUGCUGGUAACUGCAUCGGAUACUGGCAUGAUUGAUACUCGCUUAGUCCCCUAUAAUUCUACUUUAAAACCCGAAAGGCCUUCUUGAUACACGCGGACUAGCCUGGAUCAAGCUUGCCCCCAGUGUGAAAUAUUCCCCACUGCUGCCUCCCGUAGGAGUCUGGACCGUGUCUCAUAUCCAGUGUGGCUGGUCAUCCAUCUCAUAUCAAACUAGGGGAUCUGUCCCCUAUGAUGAGCCGUUAUCCCCGACCUAAUAGCUAUAUCCCCUACUGGGCACGAUGCCGAUUGCCAGAAGGCCUAAAGGUCCCCCCUCUUUUGGUCCUGGCGCACGUCUACUGACGCGAAUGAGCUACCCGUUGUAUCAAGUACUUAUCCCCCGUGUCAGUACAGAGUGAUG
rnacentral:rRNA from 1 species